UACGUAGGGGCCAAGCGUUGUCCGGAUUUAUUGGGCGUAAAGAGCUCGUAGGCGGUUCGGCAAGUCAGCUGUGAAAUCUCCACGCUCAACGUGGAGGGGUCAGCUGAUACUGCUGUGACUUGAGUCCGGUAGGGGAGUGUGGAAUUCCCGGUGUAGCGGUGAAAUGCGCAGAUAUCGGGAGGAACACCAGUAGCGAAGGCGGCACUCUGGGCCGGUACUGACGCUGAUGCGCGAAAGCGUGGGGAGCAAACGGG
rnacentral:rRNA from 1 species